rnacentral:lncRNA from 1 species
AGCGCUCGGAUUCAUGCUCGGGUCUUGCUACGUGCUGCAAGAGUAAAGUAAACAAUGAUGGAGGCAGAGAGCAGCUUUGGAGGAGAAACAUCUAGCAGUGUGAACAACCUCUUCAGGAGAGCCCUAAAGACCUACCUUUUUCAUAAAGCCUUUGGUUAGUUUUCCUCUAUGCUUUAUGCUUUUACUACCUUGCCUCUUACAUUGCAACUCUAUAUUUUUUAUUUUUUUUAAUUAUUUUUUUAUGCCAAUCUGUGACUGUCAUUCUAUUGCUUUUUUAUUGUUGCUGCUCUUUUUUUUACUGUGUACUGUAGCACUUUGAGAUUUUUUGUAAAUGUAAAGCGCAUUACAAAUUAAAUUUAUUAUUAUUAUUAUUAUUAUUAUUAUUAUUAUUAUUAUUAUUAUUAUUAUUGUUAUUAUGGAGUGCUUUGGCUCACACUAUCGCUGUUUUCUGUGAGUGUUGCAUAACUUUGGGUGAGCACAGACAUGAACACACUUCAGCCACGUACUUAUUUAUUCAUUUUGCUAGUUUUAAGUGCUGGUCUUGUACUGGUACUGUACUAGUGCAGCUGUAUACACUUAAAUUUUUCAUAGAACUGAAAGCAUACCAUAGCUAUAUCGUGAUAUAUAUCGUUAUCGUGAUAUAAAAUGAUCCAUAUCGUGAUAUACAUUUUUUUACAUAUCGCCCAGCACUAUGCUGAUGUGUAUCGAUGUAUUCUCUAAACAUGCUUGUGUGAGGCUUCUAAGAAACAAAUCAGGACCCGUUGUCGCAAGUGCAUUUAAAGACAUUCUAAGAGACGGACGCAUUCCGACAAAAGUCCAAAUGGAUGCUGGUACCGAGUUUUAUAACAAGCAUUUUAAAACUCUGCUGCAUCAGUAUGACAUCAUCCAUUUUUCCACAUCAAACGAGACCAAGGCCAACGUAGUUGAACGUUUUAACAGAACUUUCAAGACGCGUAUGUGGAGAUACUUGACAUCCAUCAACUCACAGCGAUAUAUCGACAUAGUCCAGGACCUUGUUGAAGCGUACAACAAAACUUAUCAACGAUCGAUAAAAAUGGCACCUGCUGCCGUUAAUAAAGACAAUGAGAAAACAGUCUUCAGCAAUCUCUACAAGGGGAAACCACAAAAAAUGGUACACUUUAAAUACUAUAUAGGGGACAACGUGAGAAUAUCCAAACUCCGUGGCAUGUUUAGAAAAGGCUAUGAGCAGACUUUCACGGAUGAAUAUUUUACAAUAACUGAACGCAUAGCCAGGGACCCUCCCGUAUACAGACUAAAGGAUUGUGGAGGCAAGGUUGUAAGGUAGGUUUUAUGAACCAGAGUUACAGAUGGUCAUUAUUGAUGACAACAAAGUAUUUAAGAUAGAAAAAAUAGUAGCUAGAAAAACAGCGGGGCGGAAAAAAAUUGUGUUAGGGAAAUGGCUGGGGUGGCCGGACAAAUUCAACUCGUGGCUUAACGAAGAAGAUGUGCAAUAAAUGGGCGAGUCAUCUCUGUUUACCAUCAUAUCAGACGCUGGUGCUGCAUAGCGACGGAACAAAAUGGACAAGAAGAAUACGGGAUUCUUUGUGACGCUGCCUAGUAAUGCCUCGGCUCAUGUAUAUCCCACUAACAAGAUAUGGAACUACAGGACGAAGUUAGCUAGACCCAUCAUACUGACUGAGCCUUAUGAGGUGGGAUUGAUCGAGAUCCAAUACCCCAGAGUUUGGAACAGUUUCCAAAUCAAAGAUGCAGAUGUGAUUGUCCAAAAUUAUAAAACAAAACAGCCUUUGACAAUCUCCAUGUCACCCGGUUUUUAUGACUCGAUACCCAGAUUAGUUAAAAAAGUCAAUUCACGCUGUGUACAGCAUCAAGCAUGCGCUAACAUAAGCAUGCAUUACAGCAAUGUUACAAAUUUAAUUUAUUUUACGGGUGCUGAGGGAAAUACUUUCACAUUUAAAGGCAGACUAGCCGAAAUACUUGGCUUUAACCCAGGGCAACCGCUUUCAAUGUCUGAAAUCUAUGGUACGCGAAAACAAAUGCAAGCACCUCACCCUGCAGACAUUCAUGGUGGAAGCUACAAUAUAUUUGUGUAUAGUGACAUUGUGGAUUACCAGCUAGUGGGUGAUAGUCAUGUACCGCUUUUAAGCUGUAUAAAUGUGUCCGACGAUGGACGUCGCAUGCCCACUCUGACUUAUGACAAGCCACACUACACAUCUCUCUCCAAGUCAACUAUUGAUGAUAUAGAGAUUUCGUUAAAAAACAACCAGAAUAAAUAUAUACCAUUUUCUUACGGGAAAGUAGUAGUAAAAUUACAUUUUAGACUGCUGCGGGAGAAAAUUUAACAGAAAAUGUUACGCACCCCAUACGCGAGCAAUGAUGCAAGAUAUGUGACUUAUUAUAUGAACCAGGCCGGCGGGGAGCUACCCGGUUUUAUAGGAUCGAGUACACAAUAUGGUCAAGGCCUCAGAGGCAUAUUUCGUAAUCUAUUUAGAAUGGCGGUACCGGUGUUUAAAAAAGGAUUUUGCAUGGCUAUGCCACAUUUAAAAACCGCUGCCACGAAUAUUAUGGGUGAUGUUGUGUCCAACAAAGCGAGAAACACGGUGUCUAAAAAACAAGACAUAAACAGAUUGUUGGUGUUCACACGGAAGAGCGCGAAAAGACCUCCUUCCGGAAGUGGGCAUUCCGUCGAACACAUUAAAAGGCGGAAAACAAAGGGAAAAACAGUAAAAAAGAAAGCAACCAGCAAAGCCUGCAGAGCAAAGUGUGGGCAGGAGGGACGGACAGAGAGACAUAUUCUAAGCUGAGAAAAAAUCUACAACAAUGUCGCUAAUACAUGAGCAGUCGGAUGAAUGUGUGAAAACAGAGCUGGAUCUAUUCACCGUACCGUACACCCAGACCUCUAUUGAAAAAUCAACUUUUGUGGAAAUUUCACCAGUUUCGGCAAUUACCGACACAGGCCCAAUAGAAUUCUACAUAUCGGCAAGUGGUGAAGACUACCUUGAUCUGAAUGACUCUUAUCUGUACACCCGUGUGAAAAUCACAAGAGCGGAUGGAGCAAAUCUGGCAAACGGCGUGGAUGUGGGUUUUAUAAAUUAUCCGGGAUGUACACUCUUCUCGCAAGUGGCUAUAAUGCUGGGAGACAGACUAAUAACACAAUCCUCCAAUACCUAUCCAUACCGAGGGAUAAUUGAAUGUUUAAUCAACUAUUCAGGCGACACAUUGGAUACACAGUUUGCCACGGGACUGUUUAGCAAAGAUACAGGGGAUAUGAAUAAUUCUUCAAUAUUGGGGAAUGACAGAGGCCUUGCAGCGAGAGGACGAUACACAGGAAUGGGACGCAUUGUCGAAUUAAUUUCACCGAUACAUGCCGAUUAGUUUUUUCAAGAGAAGCUGAUGCUCAAC